rnacentral:tRNA from 1 species
GGAGACUUGCCAGAGUGGUUGAAUGGAACGGUCUUGAAAACCGUCAUACGGGAAACUGUAUCUGGGGUUCGAAUCCCUGAGUCUCCG